AUUUGUAUCGCUAAAAAUACUUAUCGAGUUAAAUUUAAAUUUGGAAUCGAUAACACACGUAGACAAAAAUUUUUGACACAAAUUCGAUGAAUUUGUUAGUAUAAAAGACAAACUGACGAUCGUUAGAAUCAAAUUGUGUUCAUUACGAACCAUUGGAAGUUAUCGGUAAAUUCAAACAUACUUGAACUCUCAAAAAUAGUAUCGACAUUUGAAUAAAAUGGCUCAUUUUAAAAGCGCAGUUGUAUUGUGUUCAGUGUUCUUCAUUGCCGGCGCUCUGGGUGGAAUUUUAAAAGAAAAACAGGAUGAGUACCAUGCUGUUCUGCAAGUAUUAAAUAAUAAUGACAAAAAUAAAGAUGGCCUAUUUAACUUUAAUGAAAUGACAAAUGCAUGUAUUGCAUUGAAGAGAAAAAAUUUAAUCGAUUCACGCAUGGAACGAAUUAUCUUACAAAAUUAUUGUGAUUAUUCUGAACCUAAGGCGAAUUGUGUAAAAACGCUUUUAACCUAUGAAGUGUUGCAUAUACUUGGAGUACACUAGGCGCAAUGAAUUUUGAUCGAUGACUCUGAAGCGAUCGUUUAAUUUUCGAAGGCAUUCUAUACGAAAUACUUUUUACUUAUAUAACUAAAUCAGAUGUUUUAUUUUUUCGUACCUAUUGAAAUAUAUAACACUUUUUUGAAUGCAUAUA